rnacentral:rRNA from 1 species
UACGUAGGGUGCGAGCGUUAAUCGGAAUUACUGGGCGUAAAGCGUGCGCAGGCGGUUUUGUAAGGCAGAUGUGAAAUCCCCGGGCUUAACCUGGGAAUGGCAUUUGGGACUGCAAGGCUUGAGUGCGGCAGAGGAGACUGGAAUUCCUGGUGUAGCAGUGAAAUGCGUAGAUAUCAGGAGGAACACCGAUGGCGAAGGCAGGUCUCUGGGCUGACACUGACGCUCAUGCACGAAAGCAUGGGGAGCGAACGGG